GACGAACGCUGGCGGCGUGCUUAACACAUGCAAGUCGAACGGAAAGGCCCUGCUUUUGUGGGGUGCUCGAGUGGCGAACGGGUGAGUAACACGUGAGUAACCUGCCCUUGACUUUGGGAUAACUUCAGGAAACUGGGGCUAAAACCGGAUAGGAGCUCCUGCUGCAUGGUGGGGGUUGGAAAGUUUCGGCGGUUGGGGAUGGACUCGCGGCUUAUCAGCUUGUUGGUGGGGUAGUGGCUUACCAAGGCUUUGACGGGUAGCCGGCCUGAGAGGGUGACCGGCCACAUUGGGACUGAGAUACGGCCCAGACUCCUACGGGUGGCAGCAGUGGGGAAUAUUGCACAAUGGGCGGAAGCCUGAUGCAGCAACGCCGCGUGCGGGAUGACGGCCUUCGGGUUGUAAACCGCUUUCGCCUGUGACGAAGCGUGAGUGACGGUAAUGGGUAAAGAAGCACCGGCUAACUACGUG
rnacentral:rRNA from 1 species